UACGGAGGGGGCUAGCGUUGUUCGGAAUUACUGGGCGUAAAGCGCACGUAGGCGGCUUUGUAAGUUAGAGGUGAAAGCCCGGGGCUCAACUCCGGAACUGCCUUUAAGACUGCAUCGCUAGAAUUGUGGAGAGGUAAGUGGAAUUCCGAGUGUAGAGGUGAAAUUCGUAGAUAUUCGGAAGAACACCAGUGGCGAAGGCGACUUACUGGACACAUAUUGACGCUGAGACUCGAAAGCAUGGGGAGCAAACAGG
rnacentral:rRNA from 1 species